rfam:Spirochaetes bacterium GWF1_41_5 gwf1_scaffold_2185, whole genome shotgun sequence.
NAGUGCGGGCGGAUGUCUGCAGACUGUUUUAGAGUUCUGAGGAAAGUCCGGACUCCACAGGGCAGGAUGCCGGGUAAUACCCGGGAUCAGCAGGGAAACCCGGCUGAUACGGAAAGUGCAACAGAAACAAGACCGCCGCUUGUCGGCAAGGGUGAAAAGACGGUGUAAGAAACCGCCGCUCCGGCAGUAAUGUACGGAGGCGUGAAAACCCCAUCUGGAGCAAUGUCAAAUCGCCGAGGCCGGCCCGGCCGUAUACGGCAGGUAGACAGCUAUACCCGGGCAGUAAUGCACGGGAAAGAUAAAUAGACAUCGCCUGCCGCCUGGCAGGUACAGAAUCCGGCUUACAGCCCGCAAUUUUUU